rnacentral:misc_RNA from 1 species
GGAAGUGAAUCAAUUGAUUUAGACAAUCAUACUUUGAUCCUUUGUUGUACAUCAGAUUGGUUCAUUCUCGUGGCAACUGAAAAUAGCUAUCUUCUUUUUUUCCAUUUAUCUGAUUUCAUAUUUUCUUUACAAGUUACAGUGCUGAUGAUUGCUAGUUGUGUUGACACUGUUUCUCUGCAGAUUGUAUUUGAAUUUUUUUAGGAUUUCCUCUGUUUAAUUGUACUUGAAUUCCCAGUUUUUCCUGCUGUAAAGAAACAUGGUUGAAGGUGGUAUUGCAAAAGCAGACAAGACAGAAUUCACAGAAUGCUGGCGUACGGCCUGGCGGACUCCUUACAUUAUGAGGCUUGCACUCUCAGCAGGCAUUGGAGGGCUUCUGUUUGGUUAUGAUACAGGGGUUAUUUCUGGUGCCCUGCUUUACAUCCGUGAUGACUUCGAAUCUGUUGACAAGAAAACAUGGCUACAGGAGACCAUCGUGAGUAUGGCUGUUGCAGGAGCUAUUGUUGGAGCCGGAUGUGGUGGAAUCAUCAAUGAUAGAUUUGGGAGGAAAAAGUCAAUUUUAUCUGCUGAUUUUGUUUUCUUUAUUGGUGCUGUGAUCAUGGCCAUUGCUCCUGCUCCCUGGGUUAUAGUUGUGGGAAGAAUUUUUGUUGGUUUCGGGGUUGGAAUGGCAUCCAUGACAUCACCUCUUUACAUAUCUGAAUCCUCACCUGCGAGAAUUCGAGGGGCACUUGUUAGUACAAAUGGUUUGCUAAUUACAGGGGGCCAGUUUUUGUCUUACUUGAUCAAUCUUGCCUUCACCAAGGCUAAGGGAACCUGGCGUUGGAUGCUCGGGGUUGCUGGCAUCCCCCCUGUAGUUCAGUUUGUGCUGAUGUUAUCACUUCCUGAGUCCCCCAGAUGGCUCUACAGACAGAACAAGGUAGAUGAAGCGAGGGCUAUCUUGGAAAGGAUAUAUCCUGCUGAUGAAGUUGACAAGGAGAUGAAAGCUUUAGCUUCAUCUAUUGAAGCUGAAAAGGCGGAUGAAGCUGCUAUUGGGGACAACAUGUUCUCUAAAGUAAAGGGUGCAUUUACAAACACUGUAGUCCGCAGGGGACUCUAUGCGGGCAUAACUGUUCAAGUUGCUCAGCAGUUUGUUGGUAUAAACACCGUCAUGUACUAUGCUCCAACCAUAGUCCAGUUUGCUGGAUUUGCUUCAAACUCGGUGGCCUUAGCACUUUCUCUCAUUACUUCAGGCCUCAAUGUUGUGGGCACCAUGAUUAGUAUGGCUUUUGUUGAUAGAUAUGGAAGGAGGAGGCUGUUGAUGAUUUCUAUGAUUGCUACCAUCGGUUUCCUUGUGGCCUUAUCGGUUGUAUUUAUCGAAGCUUCUUCCCAUGCUCCUAAGGUUAGUGCAAUGGAGACUGCACAGUUUGGGAAAAACUCUACUUGUCCCAAAUACCUGACCUUGUCAGAUACAUCAAAAUGGAGCUGCAUGUCCUGUUUGAAAGCAGAUUGUGGUUUCUGUGCUAAUGCAGCCAGCGAAUUUCAACCUGGAGCAUGCUUGGCUGACACCAAGGCCUUAAAAAGCACAUGUCAUGCACAACAUCGGGUGUUUUUCGAGAAUGGUUGUCCAAGUAAAUUUGGAUUUCUUGCUGUAGUACUCCUUGGACUCUAUAUAAUUGCUUAUGCACCUGGAAUGGGUACUGUACCAUGGAUUGUGAAUUCAGAAAUUUACCCAUUGAGAUAUAGAGGCAUUGGUGGAGGGAUUGCUGCAGUGUCGAACUGGUCUUCGAAUCUUAUAGUUAGUGAAACAUAUUUAACUCUGACUGAGCAUCUUGGAGCUGGUGGUACCUUUUUCCUAUUUGCUGCAAUUUCCUGCGUUGGACUUGCAUGCAUCUUCUGGUUUGUUCCUGAAACCAAAGGCCUACAAUUUGAGGAGGUUGAGAAAAUCUUAGAGGAAGGAUACAGGCCAGAUUUGUGUGGAGGAAAGAAAAAGAGGAAGAAUGUCGAUACUGUAUAAUUCUGAAGAAGCUUGAGCUGAAAGUGAGAGACAAAAAUUGCAGAUUUGCAGUACCUAUUACAAUUCCUAUAAUUAUUGUUAAUAGUAUUCCGUGUUUUUAAUGAGGAAGGAAUCCUAUUGCUCUCAUCAAGUAAAAAGAUAGUGCCUUGUGCAAAUUCAGUCCUAUUUAAUGACUGAAUUAUGUAAAGAAUAAGGUUCUCAUUGGGUUUAAAGUAAUGAACAAUUGUUUCCUUAUUGGCAAUUAAUGGAAAAGCUUUCUUUUCG